rnacentral:rRNA from 1 species
GUAGGGGUCCAAGCGUUAAUCGGGAAUUACUGGGGCGUAAAGCGUGCGCAGGCGGUUGUGCAAGACCGAUGUGAAAUCCCCGGGGCUUAACCUGGGAAUUGCAUUGGUGACUGCACGGCUAGAGUGUGUCAGAGGGGGGUAGAAUUCCACGUGUAGCAGUGAAAUGCGUAGAGAUGUGGAGGAAUACCGAUGGCGAAGGCAGCCCCCUGGGAUAACACUGACGCUCAUGCACGAAAGCGUGGGGAGCAAACAGGAUUAGAUACCCUGGUAGUCCACGCCCUAAACGAUGUCAACUAGUUGUUGGGGAUUCAUUUCCUUAGUAACGUAGCUAACGCGUGAAGUUGACCGCCUGGGGAGUACGGUCGCAAGAUUA